UGGGGUAUAGUGUAACGGUAGCACAACUGACUCUGGAUCAGUUUGUCUAGGUUCGAAUCCUAGUACCCCAG
rnacentral:tRNA from 1 species